GGUGGUAACUCCAUCUAAAACUAAAUAUAACCAUGAGACCGAUAGUAAACAAGUACCGUGAGGGAAAGUUGAAAAGAACUCUGAAUAGAGAGUUAAAUAGUACGUGAAACUGCUUAGAGGUUAAGCCCGAUGAACCUGAAUAUCCGUUAUGGAAAAUUCAUCUUUAUGAUUUUAAUAUUUAUAAUAUUAUAAUAAUGGUGUGCAUUUUUUCUAUAAAGGACAUUGUAAUCUAUUAACAUAAAUAUAUUUAUCAUAAGAUCAUUUGCGUAAGUUUAUUCAAAUUAUUUUGCUUGCAUUUUAAUAUCGAAUAAAUGCUUUUGAUUUGAUAAAGUGUUGAUAGAUUUAUUAUAUAUAGUGCUUAAAUAUUUAUAUUUUAUAAUAGCAUAUUGAUCAUUGAUCUUUAUGUUUAUUAUAUGCACUUAUAUGAUUAACAAUGCGAAAGAUCAGGAUA
rnacentral:rRNA from 1 species